rnacentral:lncRNA from 1 species
AGGGGAUGCCUGCUCUACAUCAGGUUUUCUCAACCUCAGUUCUGGUGAUAUUUGUGCCAGUGCAUCAACCCAUAAGACUGACUCCAGAUGUGGAAUUGGAGCAGGAUCCCAGAGGGCCCCUGCUGUCACACAUGUCAACUACAAUAUUAUCUUUGCCUCAGAGAAGAAAGAAUGGAAGUACUACCAAGUUUUGGGAUUUUAAAAAAAAGAAUAAAGAGAUCAAGAUCAUUGAGAGCAAGGCCUUCAACUCAGGAAUCAGGGUUUUGGAGACUUGGCUUGACCCAGGAAGGUGAUCUUCUGGACUAGAAAAAACUACCUGUAGCGUGACCUGGGAAGAAUCAGACAAUAUGACCAGAUUCCCCGAGCAUUACAAUCCUAAGUUAUAUGGAAUAUGCAUGUUGUUUUUAUAUUCUUGUAGUCCUAGCCAAUUUCCAAAAUGAAUCAGCAAUUUAGCAUCUGCCUGACUCCAUGUGGAACUAAGAAGCCAGCAUUCCAGGAUCCCAAGAUGUGCUUCUUGAUAGACAAGCCCUCGAUGUUGAUCUGGAUGAUAUCAGCGGCCUCAGUUGGUUCCAAAUUUUAUCACUUGUCCUGGGUGUGCUAAUCUCUUUAACAAGGAAUCAUAGAGAAUUUAUUCUUUAAAUUACCCCUUUCUCUGCUUCCUCCAAAUAGCUUGAAUGGGAGCCAGGGGUAACCUCCUUUCUGGUCUAGGCCAGCAGUCUCCUAUACGGUGUGAGAGUCACAGACUCAAGAAUAUUGCCCCAUUUCCAGAAGCUUGAAUCCUCCCUCUACACCACUCUUGCAAAGCUCUGCAAAGCUUUAAAAAAAUCCAUCCCUGUUAAAGUUUAUAUUUUUGGAUUGAGUACAUCCUGAAUGUAUUAUCCAAAUUCUUCCCCUUAGAUUCUUGUCAUCCACAAAUUCAAACAACUUGUCAUCAGUACCCUCUGUGAAGUGAUUAAACAGCAUGUCCAAUGACACUAUCUGUCCUUGAGUGUGAUAUGAGCAGCUGUUAAAAACUCUCUGGCCAAAAACUUCACACAUGGCUGAAAAUUGCAUAUAUUAAUAAAUUAUACCUUUGGAUUAAGGUCUGAGAAGCGUUGUUGAAAUAAAAAUGUAAUAUCUUGCAGUGGUAAUUGAUGACAUUUUGCAGCAACAAGACCAAGACUUGAAGCCAAGCCCCAUUGCCAUGGGAAUUUGGAGACUUAAUCUGCCCC